rnacentral:rRNA from 1 species
CCUACGGGAUGCAGCAGUGGGGAAUAUUGCACAAUGGGCGCAAGCCUGGUGCAGCCAUGCCGCGUGUGUGAAGAGGGCCUUCGGGUUGUAAAGCACUAUCAGCGGGGAGGAAGGCGGUGAGGUUAAUAACCUCACCGAUUGACGUUACCCGCAGAAGAAGCACCGGCUAACUCCGUGCCAGCAACCGCGGUAAUACGGAGGGUGCAAGCGUUAAUCGGAAUUACUGGGCGUAAAGCGCACACAGGCGGUCUGUCAAGUCGGAUGUGAAAUCCCCGGGCUCAACCUGGGAACUGCAUUCGAAACUGGCAGGCUAGGGUCUUGUAGAGGGGGGUAGAAUUCCAGGUGUAGCGGUGAAAUGCGUAGAGAUCUGGAGGAAUACCGGUGGCGAAGGCGGCCCCCUGGACAAAGACUGACGCUCAGGUGCGAAAGCGUGGGGAGCAAACAGGAUUAGAUACCCCGGUAGUC